rnacentral:pre_miRNA from 1 species
UUGGUUUGUCUUAAGUCAGACUUGUUCAAUUUUAGUCAAGUUUAUAGAAAAAAUAUAACAAUAUUUAUACUAUCAAAUAUAUACAAUAUCAAUAUAUUUCAUGGUGAAUUCGAUGCAACAAAUUUGAUAUUGUAGAUGUUGUUAUAUUUUUCUAUAAACUUGGACAAAGUUAAAAAAAAUUGACUUAGGAUAAACCAAA